rnacentral:rRNA from 1 species
UACGUAGGGGGCUAGCGUUGUCCGGAAUCAUUGGGCGUAAAGAGCGUGUAGGCGGCCCGGAAAGUCCGCUGUGAAAGUCGGGGGCUCAACCCUCGAAUGCCGGUGGAUACUGUCGGGCUAGAGUGCGGAAGAGGCGAGUGGAAUUCCUGGUGUAGCGGUGAAAUGCGCAGAUAUCAGGAGGAACACCGAUUGCGAAGGCAGCUCGCUGGGACGUCACUGACGCUGAGACGCGAAAGCGUGGGGAGCAAACAGG